UACGUAGGGUGCAAGCGUUGUCCGGAAUUACUGGGCGUAAAGAGCUCGUAGGUGGUUUGUCGCGUUGUUCGUGAAAACUCACAGCUCAACCUCGGGCCUGCAGUGGGUACGGGCAGACUAGAGUGCGGUAGGGGAGAUUGGAAUUCCUGGUGUAGCGGUGGAAUGCGCAGAUAUCAGGAGGAACACCAAUGGCGAAGGCGGUUCUCUGGGCAUGUCCUGACGCUGAGGAGCGAAAGUGUGGGGAGCGAACAGG
rnacentral:rRNA from 1 species